AGAGUUUGAUCAUGGCUCAGAUUGAACGCUGGCGGCAUGCCUUACACAUGCAAGUCGAACGGCAGCAUGAUCUAGCUUGCUAGAUUGAUGGCGAGUGGCGAACGGGUGAGUAAUACAUCGGAACGUGCCCUGUAGUGGGGGAUAACUAGUCGAAAGAUUAGCUAAUACCGCAUACGACCUGAGGGUGAAAGUGGGGGACCGCAAGGCCUCAUGCUAUAGGAGCGGCCGAUGUCUGAUUAGCUAGUUGGUGAGGUAAAGGCUCACCAAGGCGACGAUCAGUAGCUGGUCUGAGAGGACGAUCAGCCACACUGGGACUGAGACACGGCCCAGACUCCUACGGGAGGCAGCAGUGGGGAAUUUUGGACAAUGGGCGAAAGCCUGAUCCAGCAAUGGCCGCGUGUGUGAAGAAGGCCUUCGGGUUGUAAAGCACUUUUGUCCGGAAAGAAAUGGCUCUGGUUAAUACCUGGGGUCGAUGACGGUACCGGAAGAAUAAGGACCGGCUAACUACGUGCCAGCAGCCGCGGUAAUACGUAGGGUCCAAGCGUUAAUCGGAAUUACUGGGCGUAAAGCGUGCGCAGGCGGUUGUGCAAGACCGAUGUGAAAUCCCCGAGCUUAACUUGGGAAUUGCAUUGGUGACUGCACGGCUAGAGUGUGUCAGAGGGGGGUAGAAUUCCACGUGUAGCAGUGAAAUGCGU
rnacentral:rRNA from 1 species